rnacentral:rRNA from 1 species
GACGAACGCUGGCGGCGUGCCUAAUACAUGCAAGUCGAGCGAAUGGAUUAAGAGCUUGCUCUUAUGAAGUUAGCGGCGGACGGGUGAGUAACACGUGGGUAACCUGCCCAUAAGACUGGGAUAACUCCGGGAAACCGGGGCUGAUACCGGAUGACAUUUUGAACCGCAUGGUUCGAAAUUGAAAGGCGGCUUCGGCUGUCACUUAUGGAUGGACCCGCGUCGCAUUAGCUAGUCGGUGAGGUAACGGCUCACCAAGGCAACGAUGCGUAGCCGACCGGAGAGGGUGAUCGGCCACAGUGGGACUGAGACACGGCCCAGACUCCUACGGGAGGCAGCAGUAGGGAAUCUUCCGCAAUGGACGAAAGUCUGACGGAGCAACGCCGCGUGAGUGAUGAAGGCUUUCGGGUCGUAAAACUCUGUUGUUAGGGAAGAACAAGUGCUAGUUGAGUAAGCUGGCACCUUGACGGUACCUAACCAGAAAGCCACGGCUAACUACGUGCCAGCCACCGCGGUAA